ensembl:lncRNA
AUUUUGUGCAUUUGCCAAGUUAGGAAUCUGUAAACUAGACCUUGGGAUGAAAAAAAAGAUGAUACAAACUUUUGCUUUGAGUAUGGACGAUCUGAACCUUUGUACAGACUCAGAGGAAUGUGGUUAUUAACAACAAAUACCCUCUCAAUUUUUCCUCUUCUCCAAAGUAACUGGUCCAUACAUGAGCUCAGUUUUUGUGGUAACCCUUAGGGUGAGUGCAAACAUCAGAGCUCUCAUGAAAAGCAUUCGAUAUACUUUAUGGUCAGAGAAGGGGAAGAGAAGUAAGCCUGGAGCGCCUGCAGACCUGCAAUACCUAGGAAAGUGUUCCCAGUUCCCUCUAGACCUGUAGGCAGACUGGGUUUCUCCAAGCUCUUCAAAACUUGUCUGUGAAGGAUUACUUCCCAGAAUAUGUCCUCAAGAAGCUGCCUGGCCAGGCUGGGAUGAAGGUGGCAGUGGAGCAGGAGUGAUCCCCUUUGGUGAGUCCUGAUUCAAUGUCAGUCUGAAAUGGAAAGUAUUGGGCUUUCAGACUAUGGUGGUGGAAGUUUAAUCUUCCAGGGCUAAAUCUACACAUCAGAGAGCAGAGCAUGCCUCUACAGGAUUUGUGCUGCUACCCUGCGAUGAGAGGCUGGGAAAGAGUUUGGAAAUAUCCAUCUAAUGCCUGGUAAAUGAGUGUCUACAUUGAACAAAGCAAACAUUGCCACACUUGCCAGUUUUGCCAGUGAGGCUUGUAGGAUGAGUGGGCACUGGAGUUUCAAGUAAUCCCUCUCUCAGAAGCAAUCUGUCUCGAGUCAAUGGUGAGCAGCAUUGGGAUGGGGUAAGCAAUCCGUGCUGCUGCUUCUGCUGCGCUGUCUGUGGAUAAAUGAAGGCAUUUAGUUAACCAGACGUGUAAUUCCAGCCUGUUUUAAUAAGUUUGAAUUACACACACUGAGCAUCUUGAUGCAGGUAUGGAAGAGUAGGUUUGUUUAUGCCAGUUUUUAAUGCCACUCGCGUUAUUUUGGAUACCAGUGAUGUUAGACUACAAGUCUAAUCUCUUCUCUGUUAGGGUCUCACUUUUUAUUUAGAUUUUAAAACGGUAUUCAAAUGAGGUUUUGACCGAAACUGAAUCACUAUGUACUUGAAAGCUAAGGAGCUUAUCAGGCAUCUGAUAAUGUUUUCAGGAUUUCCCCAGAUUAGACCGCGGAGUGUACAGACAGGAAGCUGAAGUAUUGAGCGCCUGACCAGAGCUUCCUCCUGUGCAAGAGUGGGGGUUUCUCCAACUCGAAUCUUUAGCUCUACAAGCACAGUCCGAGUCUUGAAGUCCAAGGGAUAAAAAGCACCCAAAUCUUUCAGCUGGGUCCUCCGAGCGUGGAGAAUGGAGUACUGCACUUAAGCCCUGCUUGCAAGGUCAGCAAAACAGUUCUCACCUCUCCCUGCUGCUGCUUACCUUCCUGGCUCCUUAUCAAGCAGGGAAUCAGAAAGGGACUUUCCAGAGCUAUAAACAUGUGAGCUGAAGAGAUGGAAUGAACCCUUAUGCAAAUGAGUCUUGAUUCCCUUCCCUUUAUAAAGAUAAAAAGUUUUUGAGAGAGCAACGGCUCCUCCAGAAUGUGGGUGUCCGGAGUUAUUGCCUCGGACUGGCUGGAUCUCUGUGCUAUCUGUCUGUCUGUCCGCCUUUCUUUCUGCUUGUCUGUCUUUCCAUUGUAGAGAACAAAGCGGAGUGAUGUAAAAUAGAAAAUGAGACAAGCAAACCUUUGGUGAUUGAAGAGGAGGAAGGAAAAUGAAAGAGAAAAAGCUGAAGAGUGGGAAAAAGAUAAAAUAAAAUGAAUUUUGGGGAUUCCACUGUGAGUAAGAGCUGAAAAAAAAGUAAGCUGAUUUAUUACAUGUUUAUCUUCUGCCUGCGAGUCAGUGCGCCUUGUAUAUGCGAGGGGUGAACUGCACAUUAAAGAUUGAAUCAAAAAGCCAAAUUCUUCCUCAAUUCCUCCAGCUUUAAACGAGCAUAAUUCUGACAGCUCCGAUGGAUUUACAUUUUGUAAACAGCAGCGGAAUCAAGAUCAAGUCCUUUAAGUCAUUUUGAGUCAUAUUUAUGCUGAAGUUAUGAGAAAUUUAGAAUGACUUUUAAAUAACGUUUGUCAGGGAAGCUGCACAUUUUCUAACGCUUCUCUUCACUGGGCAGGAAUUUUGCUAUGGUCAUUGCAGUGUUGUUAUGACUUUAUUCUGAAUCCAAUGGCAGUACAGAAAGAAGGGGUGAUGUUAUCGUUAUGUGCAUCCAUAUUUUCCUUGCAUUAUGACUUAUGUAUAUUCAUUUUUAUUUUAAAUGUGUAUUUUAACAACCGUUUAAACAGGGAGAUGGCAUGAGCUAGUUGAUGUAAGUAUUUUUUUUUCUCUCCAUCAAAUGCCACUGAUUUUGAAAAUGCAGUGUUUGACUGCAGCCGGAGGGUUUAGCUGGCUACACCUUGCUUUCUUUCACAUUAAUCCUUUACUCUUUUGCAGGUUUAUUUCUUCCUUUGCGUGCUCUGAGCUUAUCUGGGCAUCCAAAAGUUUGUUUUAUAGUAUGGAAGAAGAGGGACAGAGGAAGAACCGCAGGUUUUCUUGAUGAAAUUUCCAAGCUUUUGCAGGUGUGGAGACGGGCUUCUGGAGCCUGCAGAAUAAGGCAGCUCCCAUCCCUCUCUUUCUCCACCUAAUCAGACAGUUUCUCUUACUCUUCCUUUUUCUGAACAGUUUGUUCGCUAAAAAAUGCUGUUUCGAAUGAACUGAAAUUAUUGACAGAGCUGAAUGGAGUGGUGCAAAUAGUACUGGGUAAACCAUCAAAAAAAUAUUUUGACAUUUGUAGAAUUAAAUCCUAAUUCUUUCUUUGAAAGUGCUUUUUUUCAUUUUCAUGUUCUUCUUAUCGUUUUUAUGCAGCAAUAAUGACAGCAAAGAAGAAACGAAGUAUUUUGUUUUAGGCCAAGAAAUACGUUCUAGUGCAGCUCAAAUUAUUUGCUUAUUUAUUUAGUGUUCAGAAAAGAACAAAAGUCACUCCAGGUUCCACCAAAUGGCAUUUUCCUUUUCCUUUCUUUUUUUUUUUUUUUUUUUUGAUUAGUAGAGGAAAACAUGGCUAAUUGCCACAGCCAAAAGUCCAUACCAUUGUCAGGACCAGCUGUAUUUCAGCUAUGUUAAUCUGGCAGAAUACUGAGCAUUCAUUUUCUGUGGGAAAUGAUGAUUAAAAAAGGGAAUUAUUUUUGAUAAGAAAAACGUACCCUUUUCUGUGCUUUUAUUGGUCAGAUUAAAUAUAUAAUCCACCUUUUCCCAUAAUCAGGGAAAGAAAAAAAAAAAAGGAGGAGAAAAGUCAGUUUUCAUUAUUGAAAUAGAUUUUCUGGAAGAUUUUUGACCCAAUUCCCUAACAUGAAAGGCUGCAGCUACUCUCUCCUGCAGUGUUUCAGAUGCCUGUGCUCCAUCGCAGCUUCCAUUGGGGCUGAGCGCUUCCCUUGGGCAGCAGAGCCUGGAGCUCCUGGAGCCAUGGGAUGAGGCUGCGGUGGGGACUCUUUGGCAGGACAGAGGUUUCAAGUGUGUCAGUGACUGCCUGUGGUCUUUGUGGGGGGAUUCAGUAAGGAAAAGUAUGGAAAACAGAGAGCUGCAGAAAACUAUUUCAAAGCUUGGAUUCUGUAGUGCAUGCUGGAUAGCCAAGUCCUCACCGGCAACUUGAGCAAUGUCAUGUCAAAAGUCUGUGUAGAAAUCAAAGAACGUCUUUACUUUUCACUGUAAUCAUUUGUAGCAGUUAAUACAUUUGAUUAAAUGUUCGAGAGUUGGUCAUGUUGAAUCUGAAUGGCACCUAGAACUAUUUUCUUUAAAAUCAGCCCCGGUGAGCUCAAGGGGAGCCAGAUUUAACAUCGUGGUGAGCGUAUCCUGGUGGAAGGCAGGCUGGCUCCCCGCAGGCUGUCUGCAUCAGCGCUUCUCAGCCUUCUCUAAUGGGGCCUUCUUGGAAAAGCCGUGGCUGGACCAUUUCCCACGCACAACAAGGAGCCGUCUGCACCUGCAGGCGCUCACUGGCAGCAUCCAGAGAGCGGCUCCCGGCUCCGUCUGCCAGCACUGGUGCUUCUCUGCCAAAUGGAGCAGACAUGUGGUUUGUAUCUUCUAAAUGAGCUCGUGCACAGAGCAGGUUCUGGCGUCCGACAGCAAACAGUGGGCUGCAGCCCACGGGCUGUGUAACACCCAUCCAGCUCCCGGCGCUGUCACGCCUGCACCUGGUCAUGAGCCAGAGCUCUCGGGCUGUUGCAUUCGCUGCUGUGUGCCGGUCUCUGCAUAACUACGGCCAGUUUGCACUGCACUUGAGCUGUUUCAUUAUUCUAAUUUUAAUUGUAGUUGAUUUCAGUGAAUUAAUGUUGAAAUGGGCUAUAUAUGAACUGAAAGUGUGCUUGCUCUUCACAGCUUAUUUUCAGUAGCUGCAGUAUUGUUAGAGUAUAAAUACAGCCAUCUCUUAUGGAAUCGUAGGAUCACUGGAGUUUGAAGGGAUGUUUAAAGGUCUUUGAUUCCAAUUCCCCUUUCCAGAUUUCAACUCCAGCUUUUAUAUUUCAAGUAUUUAGAUACUGAACCUGUCUGAAGAAAAAAUAUCUCCGGCUUCUAAUGGAUUUCUAACAUUACAAUUGUUUAUUAUAAUAAAUAAUUGAAUAAUAAUAGCCUAAUAUAAAAAAGAAUGAAAUCCUUGCUGAGUGAUCAUGGCAUUCCUUUUUUAAAUAAUGCAAUAAUUACAAAAACAUUUUAGUUAAUUAAAACUUUAAGUUAAUGUUUGCCUGUUUUUCAACUACUUAUGCAGACCCUAAUCAUUUUGGGUUAGUGAUACAGAGCACAGCAGCUGCACAGGGACAAAGACUUGUAAGUACCUGUGCUGUUGCCACAGAUGGAACAAUGCCAGUUCUUUUGAGUUCUUAAAAAUGUGGAAAUUGAAAGGGAGCAAGGAAUGGCCAUCUACUCUCUCCUGUUUGCUUUACCCACCUCUCCCUAUGUUGUUGGUUGUUUAGAUUGUAUCUGACAUGUAUGGCCGGACCAGACUUUUCUGGUGCUUGGUUCCAAUAUAUGCAUCAGGAAAUGGUUUGGGUGAGCAGUCCAUAGUGCUACGCGUUGGGACGCAGCACGUGCCUUGCACCCAGCAUCUGCAGCACAUGCCUGGUUGGAUAUCUGAGCCGAGGGAGGAAGCACUGCUGGAUUUGGGACCGGCUCCAUACACGAGGUAGGCCUUUUCCUGACACGGCUAGUCACUGACAUGAAACGUUUUGCCGUUAGGAUGAAAAAUGUAUCAGUGAAAUGAUAAGGAAUAAAUAGGGUUGGAGUUUCACAGCUUUGCAAGGGCUUUUAACUUCUCAGCUCUCAUUACCCUCAUUAGCACAAUGAGAAUGGGCUUCCUGGCUGUCCCCACUGCUCCUUGCAACAUCUGGGCAGUGUCAAGGCAGUUGUUACUACAUUUGUGUCCGUGUGCAAGAUGCAUGCUUUAUACUGUUUACAUUCCCUGCGCUGUGUUCCCUUCUGUCACCUGAGAGUGCAUAGGAAGAAAUACGGAGUGCAUGCAUGUCUGCAUUUUUCAGUACAAAAACGUGCUGGAGUCGUGUUUGGAGAGCUGUGACCUAUUGUGGCUUCUUUUAAGUGUAACUGAAACUGUGCUGUAGUAUAACCGUACUCUAACUAUGCGCUAUAGAGAUUACUAAAAGUACUUGCUUUGGGAGGCUUUUAUAAUUAUUACCGAUGGCAAGAAGGUUUUAAAGCUCUGAAACAGGUUUUUCAUGCUAUGAUUUUCCAUAUGAUUGUUUUAAACGCCUACGGUGUUCAUGCAUGCAGCUGAGGUGUAAUAUGUUUCAGAUAUCAAUUGAUACAUUUUGCCACGUACUUUUUCUUUAAAUUAAAUUAGCAGCGCAAUGCAAAAACUGUCAGUUUUAGGUCAAGAAAUGAAAUGGAAUAUGCAAUGAUUUUGAUCUUUCGCAAAGGAAAAUGGUCUGUUGCACAAAGUAAUGUGUUGUUGGAAAAUGUGAUUAAAAUGGAGACAACAGAACUGAACCUCCAGAUAAGCAGAGUGGAAUAAUUCUACAGGGGAGGAAAUUGCAUGUUUGUUAUUCGUGACAUGGGCAUUGGCAGCAGAAACACAGCUACCGCCUGAAAUUAGAAAUGCAUCCAGAAAGUAACUGGGAGUUUCAGAAAGCAGUUUGGGAACAAACGCAGCUGCUUCUGCCAAGAGCAAAACAUGAAGGGGGGGCGUGGGGGGGGACACUAAUACCGAUUCAUCACAAGAUGUGAGAUUGUUUGUUUCAAAGACAAGUUUAAAAAAAUAGGAUUUAUUUUUUUUAAAGCUCUUUUUUUGUUCAGUGGGGGGAGGACUACAAAAGUCAACGCGUUCUUCCUGGGCUGAAGGCAUCGCUGGCUUGAUGCAUUUGAAGGGUUCAGGAGGAGGAAUCCUUGCGGGCAGUUCCUUGUUUGACACUGGGAGCCCAGGGAGCGAUGCUGGAGCAGGGCGUGCUUAGCGCCCAGGUGUCUGUCUGAUGGAACUGGUAGAGCAGAGUGCAGUUCAAGUGCAAAGCUUUUUCUCUGUGAUUGCACUGGAGGUUUGCUGUUGGAUUUUGCAGUGCUGAAUACGAUUUUUACAAAACUAGGGAAGAGUUGCAGCUUCUCUGCGUGUAAGCACAGAAAUGUUUGUCUGCAAACAUGGAUAUUUGCUUUACCAAAACGGAUUAACAAAAAAUGACAGUGUGCUAAGAUACAGGCAGUGUUUGCCUUGUGUCCAAGCACUGCGUCAGGACCUCCUUGCUGAUCCUUACAUUUAUACGCAGAGCAGCUCUGUGUUGGUGUAUGUGAUGGGAGCAGAGCUGCUCAGCAUAGCAAGGGCCCAGCUGCUGUGCUGCCCGUCCUGCUGCCUCAGUGCCUCCUUCUUCCUCUCUGCCCUCUUGCUUCAUCCAGCCAGAUGGCAGCGUAGCUGUGGGAUAUGUGUUUUCCCACCAGCUAUGGGGGGAAAAUGUAUUUAACUCAAUAAGGGUGAGGAAGAUGCAUUAUGCUCUUAAUGGAAUGUGACCAUAUUCAUAUUUUUAUUUCAAGUUCCCCACCAGUGUUAAUUAAUUAUCACGCACGAUGAGCUCAUUUAAAACGUAUCUGGAUUCACACGGAGCUGCAGUACAUCAUUGACUGGUUAAGAAGCAUUAAAAUCUCACUCUUUGGUGUAUGUGCAGACAAAUGUAGAUGUUGUAUUAGCAAGAAAGGUACUAACGGCAACAUGGAGAAUAAAAAUAGGGGAUGGUAAGGAAAACGCCGAAGUUUUACACAAUCCAUUAACUUGAUAGCUUUAGGAUCAUUAUGUUCAUUUCCUUUUGAAACAUAUUUAAUUCAAAAGGAAACUUAUGGAAGAAUAGUCUUCAGGCACUUAACAUUACUUAAUCACUCUAAAAAGAUUCGCCUUUUGGUGUAGCAGUAAAACUUUAUAGGAUGAUUGCCUAUUAAGUGCCUGUCCUAUAGGGAUAGUUAUUUCUAGUGCAAUAAGACCUCCAAGCUGUGAGGUACUAAGUGACCCUGAUGGAAUAGGAAAAAAUAAUGUUGCUUCAAUAAGUGGACUUAUGGUCUGUUGAGAGGCUCACCUCCUUACUGCUCUUGCAGUGGUAGAACAAUGUAAUUCUAUGGGCUUUCUUCUUGUUUGCAAGUGCAUGAAUUUAAUUCUUGAGCAAAUGAGUUCUCAGAGGCUGGGGGACACUCCACGAAUGACACCGAUAUGACAGAGGAUGCCAUGUGUGAAGUUGAUAUUGGGUCAAAGCAGAAUGUGUCUGACACUGGCAUUGUGUGUUUUUAAGGUGAAAGAGAACGAAUGGGCUGUGACGACACUAAAUGCAGCAGGCAAACUGAGAGAGAGUUUGACCUUUUCUCCUACGUAGUUAAAAAAACCUCUAAAGUCAACUUACCUUGAAAAUGACUGGGAUUAUGAAGCUAUGCACCCAUCCAUACUGGCAGUUUAGGAAUUUAAGUUAGACAGUGGCUGUGCUGGUGGAGAACCCAGAUGGGAUGUCCUUUGGGCAGAACAGUGGGACAGGUCAGCUUGCUUGCAGCUACCUCAGAUCCAUUUACUGAGCACUGAGGAGGGGGUUGUGAUGUUCUUCCUUGUCUUUAGAGUGUCUGAUUGGUUAGAGGAAUGCAAACGAGCGUCCAAAUCAGAUGUCCCCCUGCUCUGGGUGCCUCCAGGGCACACCUAUCGACUCUGUGCUCUGAAUGCGGGGCCUGGAGUCUGUUGCAGAGGCACUUCCAUGCUUUAUUCUUUUUGGCUCUUUCUCUAUUUUACCAUAUCGUGUUUUCAUUGAUCACUGUUCAAUUUUUUUCAUAUUUUAGACUUGGAGAGUCACUGCCACAGCAGGGCUGGGCUGCAGACAGAUAUCUCACUUUACAUCAGCAAAGAUCUCCUUGCACCUGGAGGAAAGCCAAGCACCGGGGAGAGAGAGCAGAGGAUGAGAUAGUGCUGCACAUCAGAACGGCCUUGAAACGAAUGUCGUGUAUCCUCAGCUUUGAGAACUGAAUUCCAUGGGUUGUAAUUGAAUCCUUUGUCAGACCCAUGGGGCUCAGUUCUUCAGCUUGGAUAUUUCUGUCUUCACAUACACGGGAGAUCAAAGAAGCACUUGAUCAUGCGCUGACUCUUCCGGAUUCUGAUAGCAGCAAAUAGGAAAGAGAAAGAAUAACUGAUGUGAAUCACUCUGACAGGGAGGUUUCACUGCAAAGACCAGGCUCUCUCAUGUCGAGUAGCUGCGCAGUGAUUGAGCCUCUCCGUGGCUGAUAGUCUGUCCCUGCAUUGCUGCUCGCUGGUUAAUUCAACUCUCCUCUCAGUUUUAUCGAAGUUACAUAUCAAGUGCUGAGAUGAUGCUGACUGAUUUAUGCUUCCCAAAAAUUGUGUGGUGCUGCUGAAUGUGGCUCUGCUCCCACAUGGGACCAGCAACACCCCAGCCCUGCCAAGUCUACCCACUGUUGGUCUGCUGCAGCCUCCUGUCUGGGAUCACUGCUGCACAGCUACUGUUUGCUCUUUUUUGGCCCCCUUGAGGUGGACCCAUUCAAGUUGUGGGCUGAAAAAGUUUGUGUUUCUUCCUUGGAAGAUCUGUGUUAAAGUUUAUUUUCUUUCAGGCGUCAGGAAAAUAAAAUUUAUGGUCUUCAAACACGUAAAGAGGUAUAAUUACCAACGAGAUUUCUACUUCAUUCCUGCAAUAAUAACCCUUCCUAAAUUACAUUUUUCAAACUCAGUAAAAUGGAUCAGUCACUGAUCUCAUCCCUGUGGUGCAAUGCUGUUAAAAGCACAGGAAUAUUAAAAUCCCACAGGUGCAGGAGGAGCGUGUUCAGCUAAGUAGUUUAAAGCUGCUGUGUGCCUUUUAUUCUGAAAAUGUAUUUACACUAAAAAUAAUCAGAUGUAAUCACUGUUGCCUGUGGAUACAGAUGUACCUUUGUACCGAUGUGCUUUUCAUAUAAAUUUUAUUCCAGGGUUUGAAGGGUUUCUUUGUGGCUGUCUGAAGCAUAUCAUGCUGCCCAGUUGUGAGACGACGGAUCUUGGAAGGACUCACCAGUCCCACCAGCUCCUGCUGGGAGAUAUCCAUUAAACAAGAAGAAGGAGAAACAUACACAAACGAAAGCGAAAUUCUGAAGUUUCAUUUCUGCUGUACUCCCUGUCAAGGAGAGGGAAUUAAAUUGGAGGUGAGAGUUAGCAAAAUCUGCAAAAGAAGAGAGUGAGGUAGCAGCUGCACAGAAUGCCCGAGGCGGGCAUCUGCUGGCAGGGCUGCAGCAGCCACCUCUGGGGCAAAGCCCAGCCUGCAGGCACUGAGGCAGCACAGGGGAUGUGUGUGUGAUGGCAGCCUCACAAGGCCACGGAUGAAAUCAAGAUAGCCUUUGGUACGGCAGUUUUGCAGUCCUAUCCCUAAAGCACAGUGUUUGUAACGCUGGUUUUGCUCAGCAAUCUACCAUAAGUUGUGAACUAACAAUAGUACUGCUGGUGUCUAGCUGGAAGUACUGGAAUUUCUAGUCAGCUCUUAAAUCCAGCCUGCCCUCCAGCCCUCUGUGCUGACCACUCUGUGUGCUCUUCCUUUGCUGUGGGCUCCUGUAGUCCUUUUGAUCCUCCCUUGCCCAACAUGACACAGCAUUCUCUUUCUGGAUACUCCUGGGAUCUUCUCUUUAAACCGCCCGGUUAAUCUUUCAAGAGCACUCCUGCAGAAUUAAAAUUAUUUUUAACACGUGGCUUCAAACCAACGUGCCUUCUGCCUGCCUACCUGCACAGCCUUGCAGUACACACACAGACCCCUCUGCAGUCUGAGCCAGGCAAUGCUCAGGCACCCCAGCAUGCCCAGGACCUGUGCUGCGAUUCCCAGUGUGCCCCCAGGUAUGCGGUGUGCUGGUUGAUAUGAUACCCAAAUUCUCUCAGCUUCUCCUGUACCCAGGCUUAUGAAACUGACCUCUUUAAUUCAGGCCUCCUCCUGUUUAAUUUCAGAGUGAAAUGUUGAUUUGUCAUUGUAAUUUUUUUUUUCUCUUUACAGAGUCAUUCAGGUGAAUUCAGCUGUAUUUGUUGCUGCUGUAAACUUGAAACUCAAUUUUGGGCCAAGUAAAGCAUUUGCUAGAAAAUAUUACCCCUCUCUCUAUCUUUUUCUAGCUGAUUUAUGCCACAUUCUGGUGCUUAUUCACAGAUCUCAGCCUGUGCAUUUUGUUCAGGUAAAGCAAUGGGCUGAGUCUUCCUGGCACAGCUGUGGCAGAGCAGCACAACCACCCACAUUUUACAGAUAAAUAAGCUGAGUCCUGACCCUUAGAAUGGGACAACAACCCUGAGUUCCACUGAGUGCCAGCUGUAUUUCAGUUCUGGCUUUCUGCUUUUCAUUCCCAACAAAUAAAUGACAACAAGCAUCUCCUUUGGCUGCUAGCAGGAGCGUGCCCCAGAAUCCCACUGAGCCUCUCCUCCCUUGGCUGAGGGUCUAUCCCCAUUUGCUGAUCAACCACUGCUCCCCUUUGCUGCCUCCCACACCAUGAACAGCCUCUGCCUUCCUUCUUGAUACUGUGCGUGCCUUGCCUUGUGGAUGCUGGUGGGAGAGGGGUGAGUGCUGGCUGCAGACCGGUGUUUCUGCUCAGCAAACGAUCUCAGGCCCUUUCAAAAGAGUGACUGCACAUCGCACACUGCUCUGCAGAAAGCUCUGUGCUUGCUACCCUUUGGUACCCCAAGACAAGCUAGCUGCUGCCAAGUACAGCUCAUCCUUUUUUGGCUAGCAGCCCUUUUUGCUUCCAGGAAAAUGAUGAGUUUAUGUCAGGUUCAGUAAUCCUGAUGUCUGCACAGCUGAGAGAAAUAGCGCUUUAAUGUGUGCAUGACUGUGCAUGUGUAUAUAUGGAAACUACAGCUUUGACAAGCCUCUCGUCUGCCUUGGGAAGGAAACAGCAGGGCUUGAAAGCCAUGGAGUCGCAAUGCGCUGGCUAAGGUCAGCAGCUUUCAGUGACUCACAAUCUGUUUUCCUGGCAGCCCCACCAUACAGCAGGUUGUGCCCUUUUUAUCUUCUGUUUCUUUAUUUUUUUUAAAAAAGAAAGGCCUACAUAAGAAAAGCUGCUGGCUCCAGACAGCCUGGAAGUCCUCACCCUUUGACAGCAUGCAUGUUCUCAAGUACAGAAAGCUCUGCUCACUGGUAUCUCUACCAGCCUAUUUUUGCACUGGUAAGGAGAUGCCCUUUCAGUUUACAUUGGAUUGAUGUUACUCUGAAAAAUAUUUGCUAGGCUGUCUCUCUGGUAGCCAUCCUUGCUUUCCAUUUUCUGUAUGCUUGCAGCCGAGCUGGGGAGGAGCAAUGGGCACAGGCAGCUGAAAGCUGCUAGGGCACCAAGAUGCCUCCGGCUGCCAUUAAGUGUCUGGUUUCGAGCAAGAGGACAGAUUUGUUUCACUUUUUCUUCCUUUUCUUUGCUAAAAAUACAAUUGACACUGCCUCAGCAUUUACAGAUAAUACAUGGAUUGGUCAAAUAAUGUAAUUUGUUAAAAGAACCCAAAGAGAUAGAAUUUUUGACUUCCACUUCUACUAACUUUUUUCCCCCAAACUUUUUAAAACUCUCCUUACCGUCGUUUUUCUUUCUUUCAUAUUCCCAACAUUUCAUUGUCAGCUGCCUCCUAUACAUACCGGAACAAGCACAGGUAAUCAUUGGGAGAGGCAGCUACUUCAUUUCGAGACAAGAAGGAAACUUCUGAAUCAGAUUUGAAAUGAACAUAAGCUGUGCUACAGAUUUGUCUCUACAGAUUCCUCUGGUUGCUUUAACCCUUGAGAGCCCACAGCCUGGGGCACUUCCCCACUGCCUGCUCCUCCCCGGCCUCCCGCCCUUGCUAGCAGAUGGCCGUCUGCAAUGGCAGGUGGAAGGGCACAGCCAUGUUUGGAUGGGGCUGGCCGGGCUGGAGCAUUGCCAGCCUUUGCCUUUCCGCAGUAAAUAACCCAGACACGAGCCUUCAAAAUCACAGGGAUAAAAUUAAGGAAGCCUUGCUGAGCCGUGCACUCCGCUGCCUUAAACCCCCUGAGCCGUGGUGUUAUGUUCUGGUGCCUCCGAAGUGUGGAUUAGGUCUCAUUAAUACCGUUUCUUGACCAAUGGUUUUGACACAAACUCGUCUAAGGGAUUUGCGUAAUUACAGCUUCAACAGAGAGGGCUUUUUUUUCCCCCCUCAGCAGCUCUCAGCACCAUGGCAGGGAACUUUGCUCCGAGUGAUGGCUGUGGGAGCACGCCUGCCCUGCCUCUCUUGCUCUUUUUCACCUGGGCAGGUGUGGAGCUGCUGGAAGACACCUGAGGUACAGACAGGC